rnacentral:rRNA from 1 species
AACGAACGCUGGCGGCAUGCCUAACACAUGCAAGUCGAACGAGACCUUCGGGUCUAGUGGCGCACGGGUGCGUAACGCGUGGGAACCUGCCCUUAGGUUCGGAAUAACUCCCCGAAAGGGGUGCUAAUACCGGAUAAUGUCUUCGGACCAAAGAUUUAUCGCCUUUGGAUGGGCCCGCGUUGGAUUAGCUAGUUGGUAGGGUAAAAGCCUACCAAGGCGACGAUCCAUAGCUGGUCUGAGAGGAUGAUCAGCCACACUGGGACUGAGACACGGCCCAGACUCCUACGGGAGGCAGCAGUGGGGAAUAUUGGACUAUGGGCGAAAGCCUGAUCCAGCAAUGCCGCGUGAGUGAUGAAGGCCUUAGGGUUAUAAAGCUCUUUUACCCGGGAUGAUAAUGACAGUACCGGGAGAAUAAGCUCCGGCUAACUCCGUG